ensembl:lncRNA
CACCAAGAACAGAAACCUUAAUGAGGAGUGUCCCAGCUGAGGCCCGAGUCCCAGCAGCUGAGAGGCUGCUCACAGUUCGCUCACAGUUUAUUGAAAGAGUGUCUGAACCUGUUUUAAACCAACGUCUGGAUAAACUCCUGCAGCAGCGUGUUAUCAAUGAUCAGGAGAUGGAAUCAGUCAGAUCACAGCAGAGCAGAUGAAGCACGAGACGUGAUGGACACGAGGAAGUGAAGCCAGCUGAUCGCUGCUCUGUGAGGAGGAUCGAUGCCUUUCCACAGAGCUGAACCUGGAUGAAGACAGACUUGGAAAGAGUCUGUGGAGCUGUGACCAUCAAUCUCAAAGAGCACUGACAGUGUCACUGUGAUCUUCAAGUGACGUGUUUUUAAACUGCACUUUAGUUCUGAAAGUGCCUCUGGUUAAAACCUGGACUCUGAUUAGAUGCUGGGCAGGACAUUGGAUGGACUGAAGCAGAGUCUGGGACCUCAGUAAUUAUUAGUGCACAAACCAGCAAAUAUGUGAAGCUCCAUUAAUGCUGAACCACAUCUACAGGUUGAAGAGCAACGCCUCAGGUUAUCUGGGACCAGCGUCAGUUUCCACCAAUAUAACUGGAGCUGUUUCUACCUGUAAUGCUGGAAUAACCUAUUGAAUCACAUGAUCAGUGUUUACUGAGGUUGAAACUCCUCUGUGCUUCUGCUUUGAACAGCUCGUUGUGCUUCUGCCUGUUUAAAUAAAGUUUUGCUGCUUUCUUAUGCUGCAGUUUGAAUUCAGAGAUCAGGAACUAUAAAUGAAUGAACCCACAGAGGAGGCAGCUUUGGUGUGUGUUUGGUUACAGAGUCACUAAGAAACACACACAAUCCCCCAGCCUGGGUUACCAUGGAGACAGUCAAACCUUCAUUCACUUCCUGUUUCCACUGUUAGUCUGACUUCACUGGUUGGUCCCAGAGUGUCAGAGACUCGUCCUCAGACAGACGCACACAGAUGGCAGAUCCAGGCUCUCAGCCUCCAGCUGAAACUUCCAGUCCUCCCCCAGCCAGAAGCUCUGACGCUGGGCUGAGAGACUUUGAUCCUUCCCUGGAUCCAGAAGUCCAGGAGGGAGAAGGAGAACAGGACCUCCUUCCUGAUCUGGAGAGGCCUGAGAGAAAGAAAGAUGGAGCAGACAGAGCUUUGAACAAACCUCCUGAGCUUCACCUCCACAAAGGUGUGACAGGUGAAGGACACCGGCGAAUAGGAGGACAGAACCUGAGAGCCAUUAGUCACAUGACUCCAGCUGCUGCCGCCUCACCAACCACUGGCCCCUCGGUGUCUGGUAAAAGGACGAUGCUGCUGUCCAAUGAGGCGAGGAGAGAAGUAGCCAAACAGGCGAGAGCCGUGAAGGAGGAACGGCGGGCAGCUCUGGAUGCCCGACAUAAAUACCUGAUGAGCAGGCUGGCAGACGCCGGCAGCCUGGAGGAGGCAGCGGUGGAAGACGCCAUGGUCUCUGAUGACAGAUUCAGUCUGAUCCAUGAAUUCUUUGCUGCAAACGGAUCCAAGAAGCUGAUUUUCUUCUAUCAGGAUGUCAAACAGAGUCUGUCCUCCCGUCAGUCUUCCUCUGUGGACGCAUCAAACUCAGCUGUGGCUCAGAGGAAACUCUUCCUCACUACGGGGAACUCUGAGCUCCAAACAAUCCCGAGCCUACGAUUCAUCAUUGUCCUGUUCAGAGAUGAUGAGCCUGAGCGUGUUUGUGUUUCCAUGGAUCAAACUGUGCUGCUUUGUUUGGUUAACCAGGUGAUUAAAGUCUCUGAGCAAACACUGGAUGACUGACAGCUGCAGGCUGAACAUCAGGAGGUCGAGAGGCCGAAGUCUGAGGAGCUCAAAGCUCCACAAACACUUAUUCACAGAGAAAAGGACUACAAACAUGGAGGAGCACAACUCCGAACAUGAGCUAAAGGCUACAUGCUAAUAGCAUUUCCCCAUGAUGUGGUUUUAACAGGAUCAUGAAUGAUGAAGUAUUUAAAGUCAGUUCCAGCCUGAGUCAGUGCCGUGUUGGCAGCUCUGAUAUGCAGAAACUUUCAAACAUGGGACAGGAAUAAAAACACGCCUGUGACGUCAGAGUUUAUGAAUGAUGACAAACUGUUUCUUGUUUUUAGAAACUUUGUUGAUGCUUAAAAUGAUCAGGAAAUAAAAGCUGAAUAGAUCCAUCUCCAAAAGUUGAUUCUGUUCAUCUGGACGUAGCGUUUUGUGGGAGAAAUGUUUCGUCACUUAUCCAAGUGACUUCUUCAGUCUCAGCUGACUGCAGGUUUUCCUCAUAUCUUAUAAACAGGCC